rnacentral:rRNA from 1 species
CAGUCGCCGCGGUAAUACGUAGGGUGCAAGCGUUAAUCGGAAUUACUGGGCGUAAAGCGUGCGCAGGCGGUUCGUUAAGACAGAUGUGAGAUCCCCGGGCUUAACCUGGGAACUGCAUUUGUGACUGGCGGGCUAGAGUAUGGCAGAGGGGGGUAGAAUUCCACGUGUAGCAGUGAAAUGCGUAGAGAUGUGGAGGAAUACCGAUGGCGAAGGCAGCCCCCUGGGCCAAUACUGACGCUCAUGCACGAAAGCGUGGGGAGCAAACAGGAUUAGAGACCCCUGUAGUCCCUGUCUCUUAUAC